rnacentral:lncRNA from 1 species
UUUUUCUUCCUUUUUCAUGAUUUUUUUCACUAUAUUUGUUUUUUAUUUUAUUUUUAAUUGUUUUUGUUCUUAAUAAUUGUAUAAAUGUUGUUGUGAGAUUUUUUUUUUCAUAUGAGAUCAAUUUUUAGUAGAUUUAUUUAUAGGAUUUUUAAAUUUUUAGCAAUUGCAACUUCAUUUUUUUCAUAUGAAUUAAUUUUUUAGUUGAAUUAAUUUUUUUAUUUUAUUUAUUUAUUUGUUGCAAAUUUGUUU